rnacentral:rRNA from 1 species
AGUGAACGCUGGCGGUAGGCCUAACACAUGCAAGUCGAACGGCAGCACAGUAAGAGCUUGCUCUUACGGGUGGCGAGUGGCGGACGGGUGAGGAAUACAUCGGAAUCUACUUUUUCGUGGGGGUUAACGUAGGGAAACUUACGCUAAUACCGCAUACGCCCUACGGGUGAAAGCAGGGGAUCUUCGGACCUUGCGCGAUUGAAUGAGCCGAUGUCGUAUUAGCUAGUUGGCGGGGUAAAGGCCCACCAAGGCGACGAUCCGUAGCUGGUCUGAGAGGAUGAUCAGCGACACUGGAACUGAGACAGGGUCCAGACUCCUACGGGAGGCAGCAGUGGGGAAUAUUGGACAAUGGUCGAAAGCAUGAUCCAGCCAGACCGCGUGGGUGAAGGAGGCCUUCGGGUUGUAAAGCCCGUUUUUUGGGAAAGAAAAGCAGCAGGUUAAUACCCCGCUGUUCUGACGGUACCCAAUGAAUAAGCACCGGCUAACUUCGUG